rnacentral:rRNA from 1 species
UGGGGAAUUUUGGACAAUGGGCGAAAGCCUGAUCCAGCAAUGCCGCGUGUGUGAAGAAGGCCUUCGGGUUGUAAAGCACUUUUGUCCGGAAAGAAAUCCUUGGCUCUAAUACAGUCGGGGGAUGACGGUACCGGAAGAAUAAGCACCGGCUAACUACGUGCCAGCAGCCGCGGUAAUACGUAGGGUGCAAGCGUUAAUCGGAAUUACUGGGCGUAAAGCGUGCGCAGGCGGUUUGCUAAGACCGAUGUGAAAUCCCCGGGCUCAACCUGGGAACUGCAUUGGUGACUGGCAGGCUAGAGUAUGGCAGAGGGGGGUAGAAUUCCACGUGUAGCAGUGAAAUGCGUAGAGAUGUGGAGGAAUACCGAUGGCGAAGGCAGCCCCCUGGGCCAAUACUGACGCUCAUGCACGAAAGCGUGGGGGAGCAAACAGGAUUAGAUACCCCUGGUAGUCCACGCCCUAAAACGAUGUCAACUAGUUGUUGGGGAUUCAUUUCCUUAGUAACGUAGCUAG